CCUGAAAACAACCAGGGGAGAAGUUAAUGAUCAGCACUGUAACUGUUAAUGUUGAUGUCUGAGACCUUCUAAACUGGAGGUACAUUCUGGAAGAGCAGGCUGCUGAGGCAGCUCUCCUGGUUCAAUGACAUGGCUCAUUUCUUCCUGAAUCUUUCCUUGGAGGGAGGAAGGUAUUAAGAAGCUGAUAACAAUCUCAUCUUGCAACUGAAAUGGCUACCAGUUUGGCAGAGAUGAAGAAAAGGGAAAGCUGUAAAUGUCUGGGAAGGGCAGAAGUGGGAAUUGCACAUUUGCCCCCUGCCUGCUCGCUCAGCCCCUACCUCUGUCAGCGACUGGAACGGCUUUCUCAGGUCCACCACGUUCA